GAUGAACGCUAGCGGGAGGCUUAAUACAUGCAAGUCGAGCGGUAGAGUGACUUCGGUUGCUUGAGAGCGGCGCACGGGUGAGUAACGCGUACACAAUCUACCUUUCAGAGUGGGAUAGCCCCGGGAAACUGGGAUUAAUACCGCAUAGUAUUUAAAGUUGGCAUCAACUUUAAAUUAAAGCUCCGGUGCUGAAAGAUGAGUGUGCGUACUAUUAGCUAGUUGGUAAGGUAAUGGCUUACCAAGGCUACGAUAGUUAGGGGGCGUGAGAGCGUGACCCCCACACGGGUACUGAGACACGGACCCGACUCCUACGGGAGGCAGCAGUAAGGAAUAUUGGACAAUGGGCGCAAGCCUGAUCCAGCCAUCCCGCGUGGAGGAUGACUGCCCUAUGGGUUGUAAACUCCUUUUAUUUGAGAAGAAACGCCUGGAUUUAUCCGGGCCUGACGGUAUCUUAUGAAUAAGCACCGGCUAACUCCGUG
rnacentral:rRNA from 1 species